rnacentral:tRNA from 1 species
GCGAAGGUGGCGGAAUUGAUAGACGCGCUAGCUUCAGGUGUUAGUGUUCUUACGGACGUGGGGGUUCAAGUCCCCCCCCUCGCACCA